rnacentral:misc_RNA from 1 species
GAUGAAGAACGCAGCGAAAUGCGAUAAGUAAUGUGAAUUGCAGAAUUCAGUGAAUCAUCGAAUCUUUGAACGCACCUUGCGCCCUUUGGUUAUUCCGAAGGGCAUGCCUGUUUGAGUAUCAUGAACACCUCAACUCUCAUGGUUUGCCAUGUUGGGUUUGGACUUUGGGGGUCUUGCUGGCUUAUGGUAGUCAGCUCCUCUCAAAUAGAUCAGCUUGCCAGUGUUUGGUGGUGAUGCGGGUGUGAUAACUAUCUACGCUUGCGGCUCCCCACCAGGUAACUUUCAGUGAUGGAAGUUCGCUGGAGCUAAUAAACGUCUCUCCUCAGCGGAGACAGCUCUUUGAAUGUUUGAUCUCAAAUCAGGUAGGACUACCCGCUGAACUUAAGCAUAUCAAUAAGCGGAGGA